CACUUGCCUGCUCAGAAAGCAUGCUGCCCCUUCCCAAAGAGCUGAUCUUGCUUGUGCCAGAACAAUCAGCUGCCAAACAAACUAAGAGACCAGUUUCAACUGCAGAAAAUCUUCAGAGACCACUUUAUACAGUGUUCCAUAUACAGCUGAGGCAUCACAUGUCAAAGUCGCGCUAUGGGAACGAUGGCUUCUCUGUCCACUUUUUUUUUUAUCAGCAAGGCCCUGUCAGAUACUUCUACUGUUCCACAAAGGUCUUCCAAGCUUAUGGUGCUGAAGGACUAACAAACCCCAGAAUGCUAUUUCAAGACUUUAUGGAAACUGAAUUCUUUCAGAGAGAACUUGCAUCCACAAAGAAACAGGUAGAGGAGAAAAGACUGCAAAAAAGCAAGAGGCCUGAAGCUCCCCAUGUUGGACACUUGUGUAGGUUUUGUAAGAUGGAACUAAAGCAAGGUCCACAUAUACAUACAGACUUAUAUAUAUUGCUAUAUACUGUCCUUCAAAAGUGUUUUCCAUUUAUAAAAAGCAGAGGAUGGAAAAAGAAAUGACUUGGAAGGAAUUUCAGAAGUCUGCCUUUUAUGAAUUUGAAUGACAGA